rnacentral:rRNA from 1 species
GACGAACGCUGGCGGCGUGCUUAACACAUGCAAGUCGAACGGAAAGGCCCUGCUUUUGUGGUGUGCUCGAGUGGCGAACGGGUGAGUAACACGUGAGUAAUCUGCCCUUCACUUUGGGAUAACUUCAGGAAACUGGGGCUAAUACCGGAUAGGAGCUUUUUCUGUAUGGUGGGGGGUGGAAAGUUUCGGCGGGUGGGGAGGGACUCGCGGCUUAUCGGCUUGUUGGUGGGGGAGUGGCUUACCAAGGCAUGGACGGUUGGCCGGCCGGAGAGGGUGACCGGCCACAUUGGGACUGAGAUACGGCCCGGACUCCUACGGGAGGCAGCAGUGGGGAAUAUUGCACAAUGGGCGGAAGCCUGAUGCAGCAACGCCGCGUGCGGGAUGACGGCCUUCGGGUUGUAAACCGCUUUCACCAGGAACGAAGCGUGAGUGACGGUACUUGGAUAAGAAGCACCGGCUAACUACGUG